AAUAAGUGCAGUCAUAAGUUUUCACGCCCAACUUUGAUCGUCCGUUUUAUUUGAAAUUUUUUAUAAUUAGCAAUUUUGUUGUUAUAAGAUGAUAAAACAUGAAUAUUACUUUACUCGUGACUUAUGUUUUUAAUUUUUUUUAAAUUUUUUUCAAAUAAGACGAAUGGUCAAAGUUAGACGCUGAAAACCAUGGCUGCACUUAUU
rfam:Oryza sativa (indica cultivar-group) chromosome 11, whole genome shotgun sequence.